AACGAACGCUGGCGGCAUGCCUAACACAUGCAAGUCGUACGAGAUCUUCGGGUCUAGUGGCGCACGGGUGCGUAAAGCGUGGGAAUCUGCCCUUUGGUUCGGAAUAACAGUUGGAAACGACUGCUAAUACCGGAUGAUGACGAAAGUCCAAAGAUUUAUCGCCAGAGGAUGAGCCCGCGUAGGAUUAGCUAGUUGGUGUGGUAAAGGCGCACCAAGGCGACGAUCCUUAGCUGGUCUGAGAGGAUGAUCAGCCACACUGGGACUGAGACACGGCCCAGACUCCUACGGGUGGCAGCAGUGGUGAAUAUUGGACAAUGGGCGAAAGCCUGAUCCAGCAAUGCCGCGUUAGUGAUGAAGGCCUUAGGGUUGUAAAGCUCUUUUACCCGGGAUGAUAAUGACAGUACCGGGAGAAUAAGCUCCGGCUAACUCCGUGCCAGCCGCCGCAGUAA
rnacentral:rRNA from 1 species